rnacentral:rRNA from 1 species
ACUCCUACGGGAGGCAGCAGUGGGGAAUAUUGCACAAUGGGCGCAAGCCUGAUGCAGCCAUGCCGCGUGUGUGAAGAAGGCCUUCGGGUUGUAAAGCACUUUCAGCAGUGAGGAAGGUGGAUGCGUUAAUAGCGUAUUCAUUUGACGUUAGCUGCAGAAGAAGCACCGGCUAACUCCGUGCCAGCAGCCGCGGUAAUACGGAGGGUGCGAGCGUUAAUCGGAAUUACUGGGCGUAAAGCGCAUGCAGGUGGUUUGUUAAGUCAGAUGUGAAAGCCCGGGGCUCAACCUCGGAAUUGCAUUUGAAACUGGCAGACUAGAGUACUGGUAGAGGGGGGUAGAAUUUCAGGUGUAGCGGUGAAAUGCGUAGAGAUCUGAAGGAAUACCGGUGGCGAAGGCGGCCCCCUGGACAGAUACUGACACUCAGAUGCGAAAGCGUGGGGGAGCAAACAGGAUUAGAUACCCU